rnacentral:rRNA from 1 species
UACAGAGGUCCCAAGCGUUGUUCGGAUUCACUGGGCGUAAAGGGUGCGUAGGUGGCUACUUUACGUUUGAUGUGAAAGCUCCGGGCUCAACCCGGAAAUGGCAUUGAAGACUAUUGAGCUAGAGGUUUGGAGGGGGGACUGGAAUGCUUGGUGUAGCAGUGAAAUGCGUAGAUAUCUGGAGGAAUACCGGUGGCGAAGGCGGCAUCCUGGACCGACAUUGACGCUGAUGAGCGAAAGCUAGGGGAGCAAACGGG